rnacentral:rRNA from 1 species
AACGAACGCUGGCGGCAUGCCUAACACAUGCAAGUCGAACGAGACCUUCGGGUCUAGUGGCGCACGGGUGCGUAACGCGUGGGAACCUGCCCUUAGGUUCGGAAUAACUCCCCGAAAGGGGUGCUAAUACCGGAUAAUGUCUUCGGACCAAAGAUUUAUCGCCUUUGGAUGGGCCCGCGUUGGAUUAGCUAGUUGGUAGGGUAAAAGCCUACCAAGGCGACGAUCCAUAGCUGGUCUGAGAGGAUGAUCAGCCACACUGGGACUGAGACACGGCCCAGACUCCUCCGGGAGGCAGCAGUGGGGAAUAUUGGACAAUGGGCGAAAGCCUGAUCCAGCAAUGCCGCGUGAGUGAUGAAGGCCUUAGGGUUGUAAAGCUCUUUUACUCGGGAUGAUAAUGACAGUACCGGGAGAAUAAGCUCCGGCUAACUCCGUG